UUUCAUUGCAGCACAAAAUACUUCGUAUAGUAAUUUGGGUUGCCUACUGAUUUCGAGUUCGACGAAUUUAAAUUAUCUCGGGGAAUGUUUAUCGGUUUUUUUUUCCAUAUGUGCCAGAUACGGUAAUUUCAUUCAAGAAAGAAUUCACUUUCGUACUCCGAAAUUGGGAAAGUAGAUAUUUCGAUUUAUUCUGUGGAAAUCCAAGAGUUUUGGGAUAAAAAUAUUUUCCUGAUUUCUUUCAAUAUUGUAUUGCGAGUUGGUUAUUUGAUGAAGCAAUAUAAUACCCAAAUUUGGGGAUCAUUGGAGUGUAUUGAAAGAGUAUCUUUCUCCAUUAGGCCACACAACAUCAAAGGCCUUUUUUUUCUUUUCCCGACUUUUUCUUCUUGAGUUUACGUUUGGAAUAUAACGUAAAAUAUAAGAGUGCUGUCGACAGAGAAUUCAAUUUACCUAAGAUCCAAGAACAUCAAGGAUACUGAACGAGCGCUGCAGAUUUUUGGUUUAUGUUCAAUUUUUGUCUUCACGAGUUUGGACUCACAGGAUUGAGAAGAAUUGGUGACGUAGUUUUAAUAAUAGUUUCAAUCCUGCUGUUCAUCAAACUGGUAUGUACAGAUAAUUUCGAUUUCGAUUGCUGGUACCAAUCAAGAAUACCUUGUGACAUAGGAACUUUUCUAGUGAAGUUGAUUUUGGAGUUUUGACAUUAAUAAGUGAAUAUCUGAAUAUCUGAACCUAUAGA